UGGGGAAUAUUGGACAAUGGGCGAAAGCCUGAUCCAGCCAUGCCGCGUGUGUGAAGAAGGUCUUCGGAUUGUAAAGCACUUUAAGUUGGGAGGAAGGGCAGUAAGCGAAUACCUUGCUGUUUUGACGUUACCGACAGAAUAAGCACCGGCUAACUCUGUGCCAGCAGCCGCGGUAAUACAGAGGGUGCAAGCGUUAAUCGGAAUUACUGGGCGUAAAGCGCGCGUAGGUGGUUCGUUAAGUUGAAUGUGAAAGCCCCGGGCUCAACCUGGGAACUGCAUCCAAAACUGGCGAGCUAGAGUAGGGCAGAGGGUGGUGGAAUUUCCUGUGUAGCGGUGAAAUGCGUAGGUAUAGGAAGGAACACCAGUGGCGAAGGCGACCACCUGGGCUCAUACUGACACUGAGGUGCGAAAGCGUGGGGAGCAAACAG
rnacentral:rRNA from 1 species